rnacentral:rRNA from 1 species
GGUGCGGCGGAGCAAGAGCGUACACGUUGGGACCCGAAAGAUGGUGAUCUAUGCYUGGGCAGGACGAAGCCAGAGGAAACUCUGGUGGAGGUCCGUAGCGAUUCUGACGUGCAAAUCGAUCGUCGGACCUGAGUAUAGGGGCGAAAGACUAAUCGAACC